ACGCUCGACACCUACGGGGGGCAGCAGUGGGGAAUAUUGCACAAUGGGGGGAACCCUGAUGCAGCGACGCCGCGUGAGUGAAGAAGUACUUCGGUAUGUAAAGCUCUAUCAGCAGGGAAGAAAAUGACGGUACCUGACUAAGAAGCCCCGGCUAACUACGUCNCNNCNCGCGGUAGUACUGNGCGGCGNGNGAGAG
rnacentral:rRNA from 1 species